GUAUAAGGGAGGCCGAGCGCUUGAAAAGGCCGGGAGCAUGUGGCCAUGCCUGGGCAGAAUCCACCAGUCAAGCAGAGAGGACGAUACACUUAGCACUCAGCAGAAGAGGAAAGAUGGGAACGCAAAGGUGUGGGGAGAGCUUCGAUUCGUUGCUAGACUGAGUUGGCUUUAGGCUGUGUUUUUUUUCGGAACUAGAGUAGGCUAGUACGUGAUGCUAAUUACAACAUCUGAGACUGCUUUAAAGUCUUUUCUCGUCCUUUAAUUGGCAAGGCAGUUGAGAUUAAAAGUCUGCGAAUUAUUUCAGAUAGCCCAUUUCAUGUCUGGGAUAAGCGAGUUGCAAUUCGUCAGAACUAAAAUUGCUUCUUUGAAUGUUUUCAAUUACAUACUGUAGCGCUGUAUACGUUAUAUAUAGCUUCAUUUUGAUUCAGACGGAGAUGCUGGGUGACAUCUCUGUUUUACGAGGGGAGCAAAUGGAAGAUUUUACACCUCUGCCAUCGGAAAUGGCGCUGUUAAAGGAAGUGGAGAAUGAGAACGCUUCGGGUCUGUUUAUAUGUGAGAAGGUGUUCGAGUGCUAGUCCUCUCCUGCUUGGCUGGCUAACCUCCAUGUUCCUUGUCUGUGGACACUUGUCAAAACAAAAAUGAUGAUGAAAAAGGAAGAGAUAACGACAUACAGGUAAGCAGCGAGAGUGAUUUGCCAAACUCGUGAACAUAAGCUCCUGCCGUUCUCUCUGUCUGAAGCAGCACGCCUUGCUGUGGCUGGUCAAAUGGAACCAAGUCAGGUGUUUCUGCGAGGUUUGGUCCCCUUCAACCAGCUACUGCGUCGUGAAUACAGCCAACAUAGAGCACAGAUUAUAAGACAAUCAUUCAGUCUGCUUUUUUAAAAUGUACUAACCCUAUUUUUUUCAUUAUGGUUUUUGUUUCUUCUAAAAUUCAAUAAAGUUUUUUCCUUUUUCAUGUUGGAUUAAUUUUCUCCUUCUUAAUUCUGAUAUUAAUUAAUUAUUCUUUCUAUAUUAAUCUUUCGGUCCCCGAGCUCUUCAUUCGUUGCCUUUCACUUGUGAAAAGGAAGCUUAAUAAGUGCGUAAUUGCACUGAUUGUUGUAUUGAUUUUUGAAUUGCGUUGAACGUGUACUUCAAAUCUUAAAAGUAUAUUUUCAUGAAACUGUAACUGUGCAGAUCCUAUGAAAUGUAUGAAAUAAAAGGCCACACACAAUUAUUUUUAUGAAAAGUUCCAUGGGUGUAAUUGUUUUUAUACUGUACAAACUGUGUUAUAUCCCUACACCUAACCCUACCCCUUACAGGAAACUUUCUGCUAUUUCAGAUUUUUAAUACGCAUUAUAAGCGUUUUGAAAAGUGGGGACAUGGGGUAAAGUCCUGAAAAAUCACAUUCAUACAUAUGUUAUACCCAUGUCAUUAUACACAUUUGUCCUCAUUUUUCAUUAAAAAAAUGCACACACAGUUUAUCUAAUUCUAUUUUGUAUUACAUUUUUGUUUCAGUUAAUGAUAAACAUACUAUAAAAAUUAAGUUGCUUCAUUUACUGACUGUUGAAAGAACAAAAUAGUUUUCAUUUGUACCCUGUUUAUGAGAAGUGUUUGAGUUUCAGGUUUAAGUUGUCCAUUACCAGC